UACGUAGGCGGUUAAAUAAGUCAGGUGUAAAAGGCAUUGGCUCAACCGAUGUAAGCACUUGAAACUGUUUGACUUGAGUAUAGGAGAGGUAAGUGGAAUUCCUAGUGUAGCGGUGAAAUGCGUAGAUAUUAGGAGGAACACCAGUGGCGAAGGCGACUUACUGGACUAUUACUGACGCUGAGGUACGAAAGCGUGGGGAGGCAAAACA
rnacentral:rRNA from 1 species